rnacentral:rRNA from 1 species
CAUUCACGGAGAGUUUGAUCCUGGCUCAGGACGAACGCUGGCGGCGUGCUUAACACAUGCAAGUCGAACGAUGAACCACUUCGGUGGGGAUUAGUGGCGAACGGGUGAGUAACACGUGGGCAAUCUGCCCUGCACUCUGGGACAAGCCCUGGAAACGGGGUCUAAUACCGGAUACAACCACUGACCGCAUGGUCGGGUGGUGGAAAGCUCCGGCGGUGCAGGAUGAGCCCGCGGCCUAUCAGCUUGUUGGUGAGGUAAUGGCUCACCAAGGCGACGACGGGUAGCCGGCCUGAGAGGGCGACCGGCCACACUGGGACUGAGACACGGCCCAGACUCCUACGGGAGGCAGCAGUGGGGAAUAUUGCACAAUGGGCGAAAGCCUGAUGCAGCGACGCCGCGUGAGGGAUGACGGCCUUCGGGUUGUAAACCUCUUUCAGCAGGGAAGAAGCGAAAGUGACGGUACCUGCAGAAGAAGCGCCGGCUAACUACGUGCCAGCAGCCGCGGUAAUACGUAGGGCGCAAGCGUUGUCCGGAAUUAUUGGGCGUAAAGAGCUCGUAGGCGGCUUGUCACGUCGGUUGUGAAAGCCCGGGGCUUAACCCCGGGUCUGCAGUCGAUACGGGCAGGCUAGAGUUCGGUAG